rnacentral:lncRNA from 1 species
CUUUUUCAAAAUGUGGCGGUGGCAGGGAAGGUUGUCUGCUCCAGAGGCUUCCCUAGAGUGAAGAGCUCUACUAUGUAUGCUUUAUGCGGCAGAAGGAGUGCUUUGGAGGAGUUUUUAAAUUUGUUUUUUUUUUAAAUCUUAUCGGUUUUAAUUGUAGCAAUGAUUCAAGAAACGUUAGUAGGUGCCCAUAACUUCGGUGGUGGAGAUCCAAAAGUGAACAAGACAGUGUUCUGGCUGCUAAAUUCUUCUUAACUGGUUAUGCCUGGAGACCUUCACUUGGUUCUGUGCCAGCACUGCCCAUGAACUUCAUAGACUGUGAUCUUUGCUAAGGCCUAAAUGAAUGAAGGUGCAGGACCGGAAGCAGAAGACAGAAAGUGGAGACCAGAUGUUUGAAGCUGGGUAAAGGCAGGGAUGGAGCAGGAACCGAGGAACAAACCUUGGAACUAGGUAAGAAGUUCUCUCUAUGACAUUUCAUUGAGUAGUAAAGGGAGAGCCAAAGCGCUGUGUUAUUGGGACAGCUGUUUGUUGUAUGGUGGGCUGUUUGACUGAAAGGUCAAGUCACAAGGUCAAGUUCACCACAUCUCAGGGCGAUUUCUGCUUUUAUGAACCAGUCUUCACACCAGCAAGAUUCCUUGGCACCUCAAGGUUUGAAGAACAACUACACAACAAAAUUCACUCUAUUCUGGAUGAUGAUGGUCUCCCAACUCAGGUUUAAAGGGCAAUCACUUUCAAAUUAACUGGACAAUCACUCUCACUCUGCCCCAGAGAAUCACUUUUGAAACAUCAAAACACCUAUUUUGGCUCCCUUUUAUGGUACCUUGUCAUUUAAAUCAUACAAAAUGUUACAAAUACAGAACUGUCCAUGUAUGUUUUUAAUAGGGUCAGCGAUAUUAAUGCAGCAGCAGUGUAAGCAGAGCAUUUUAAGAAAUUCUUCCGGUCCUUUUGGAAUUCAGCUUAACAGACAUGUAUUGACAUAACUAACUUGUUCAAUAUGUCUUUCUGUAAGUUAUAAGUGAGGAGAAAGUAAAGCUUUCCAUUAAACUAACAGAUGAAAUUUUUGUAUUAGGGAUAAUGUACUAAUAUGAUACACACUAAUAGGAUAUAUAUUCCAAAGUGCUGUUACAUCAUUUAAUGCAAAGUUACCUCCUACUGGGAACUAAAUAUUAUUUUACAGAAAAUAUAAAUAAUGUAAAGACUUUCUGGGCACUCAGUAAUAACCUGGGAUGUGAAAUAACUUGAUUUGUGGCACUGGCCAUGUACAAUAUCUUUUUGUUGAAGAUGAUUAUCAGAAUUCUAUGGAAAAUGUAUUGUCAGGGUUGUAGAAUGGACGAUUCCUGUUAUGAUUCACUAGGGAACAAGCUUUUUUUUUAAAAUUUUUUUUAUUAUACUUUAAGUUUUAGGGUACAUGUGCACAACGUGCAGGUUAGUUACAUAUGCAUACAUGUGCCAUGUUGGUGUGCUGCACCCAUUAACUCGUCAUUUAACAUUAGGUAUAUCUCCCAAUGCUAUCCCUCCCCCUCCCCCCACCCCACAACAGGCCCCGGUGUGUGAUGUUCCCCUUCCUGUGUCCAUGUGUUCUCAUUCUUCAAUUCCCACCUAUGAGUGAGAACAUGCAGUGUUCGGUUUUUUGUCCUUGCGAUAGUGUGCUGAGAAUGAUGGUUUCCAGUUUCAUCCAUGUCCCUACAAAGGACAUGAACUCAUCAUUUUUUAUGGCUGCAUAGUAUUCCAUGGUGUAUAUGUGCCACAUUUUCUUAAUCCAGUCUAUCAUUGUUGGACAUUUGGGUUGGUUCCAAGUCUUUGCUAUUGUGAAUAGUGCCGCAAUAAACAUACAUGUGCAUGUGUCUUUAUAGCAGCAUGGUUUAUAAUCCUCUGGAUAUAUACCCAGUAAUGGGAUGGCUGGGUCAAAUGGUAUUUCUAGUUCUAGAUCCCUGAGGAAUCGCCACACUGACCUCCACAAUGGUUGAACUAGUUUACAGUCCCCCCAACAGUGUAAAAGUGUUCCUAUUUCUCCAUAUCCUCGCCAGCACCUGUUGUUUCCUGACUUUUUAAUGAUCGCCAUUCUAACUGGUGUGGGAACAAGCUUUGUAAAUGAUUGUUUUUGUUCUUAGUUGUCCUCUAAAUAAACUAGAAAGGUAGAAAGUGUU